rnacentral:rRNA from 1 species
UACGAAGGGGGCUAGCGUUGCUCGGAUUCACUGGGCGUAAAGGGUGCGCAGGCGGUUGGGUGUGUCAGAUGUGAAAUCCCGAGGCUUAACCUCGGAACUGCGUCUGAAACUACUCGACUAGAGUACUGGAGAGGGAAACGGAAUUCACGGUGUAGCAGUGAAAUGCGUAGAUAUCAUGAGGAACACCAGAGGCGAAGGCGGUUUCCUGGACAGUUACUGACGCUCAGGCACGAAAGCAUGGGGAGCAAAAGGG